GACGUAGGGCGCGAGCGUUGUCCGGAUUUAUUGGGCGUAAAGAGCUCGUAGGCGGCUUGUCGCGUCGUCCGUGAAAACUCACAGCUCAACUGUGAGCUUGCGGUCGAUACGGGCAGGCUAGAGUUCGGUAGGGGAGACUGGAAUUCCUGGUGUAGCGGUGAAAUGCGCAGAUAUCAGGAAGAACACCCGUGGCGAAGGCGGCUCUCUGGGACGUGACUGACGCUGAGACGCGAAAGCGUGGGGAGCAAACAGG
rnacentral:rRNA from 1 species